rnacentral:rRNA from 1 species
UACGUAGGUGACAAGCGUUGUCCGGAUUUACUGGGCGUAAAGAGCGCGCAGGCGGUCGAUCAAGUCGAGUGUGAAAGCCCCCGGCUCAACUGGGGAGGGUCAUUCGAUACUGAUCGGCUCGAAGGCAGGAGAGGGUAGUGGAAUUCCCGGUGUAGUGGUGAAAUGCGUAGAUAUCGGGAGGAACACCAGUGGCGAAGGCGACUACCUGGCCUGUUCUUGACGCUGAGGCGCGAAAGCUAGGGGAGCAAACGGG